rnacentral:rRNA from 1 species
UACGUAGGGUGCGAGCGUUGUCCGGAAUUAUUGGGCGUAAAGAGCUCGUAGGCGGUUUGUCGCGUCUGCUGUGAAAACCUAAGGCUCAACCUUGGGCUUGCAGUGGGUACGGGCAGACUAGAGUGCGGUAGGGGUGACUGGAAUUCCAGGUGUAGCGGUGAAAUGCGUAGAUAUCUGGAGGAACACCGGUGGCGAAGGCGGCAUCCUGGACCAACACUGACGCUGAUGAGCGAA